AACGAACGCUGGCGGCAUGCCUAACACAUGCAAGUCGAACGAGCCCUUCGGGUCUUGUGGCGCACGGGUGCGUAACGCGUGGGAACCUGCCCUUAGGUUCGGAAUAACUCCCCGAAAGGGGUGCUAAUACCGGAUCAUGUCUUCGGACCAAAGAUUUAUCGCCUUUGGAUGGGCCCGCGUUGGAUUAGCUUGUUGUUAGGGUAAAAGACUACCAAGGCGACGAUCCAUAGCUGGUUUGAGAGGAUGAUCAGCCACACUGGGACUGAGACACGGCCCAGACUCCUACGGGAGGCAGCAGUGGGGAAUAUUGGACAAUGGGCGAAAUGCUGAUCCAGCACUGCCGCGUGAGUGAUGAAGGCCUUAGGGUUGUAAAGCUCUUUUACCCGGGAUGAUAAUGACAGUACCGGGAGAAUAAGCUCCGGCUAACUCCGUG
rnacentral:rRNA from 1 species